CUGCAGCCAAUUAAGCCAACCAGAUUUCUUUCACAGAGACCUGUGUGCAAUGGCUGCAAACAGCAUCCUCCUUGAGAAUGUAUGCAGUCUGUUGUUUGUUGGAUUGCCCCAAGAGAAACAGAG
ensembl:snoRNA SNORA70 Small nucleolar RNA SNORA70